ACUGCUCAGUAACACGUCGAUAAUCUGUCUUUAGGUUUGGGAUAGCCUUUGGGAAACUGAGGGUAAUACCAAAUAUGGGUUGGAUACUGGAAUGUUCCUUCCCUGAAAGGCAACGCCUAAGGGUGAGUCGGCGGCUGAUUAGGUUGUUGGUGAGGUAAUGGCUCACCAAGCUUAGGAUCAGUAGGGGGGAUGAGAGUCCUAGCCCCGAGAAGGGCACUGAGAAACUGGCCCUAGCCCUAAGGGGUGCAGCAGGCGCGAAACCUUUACAAUGUACGAAAGUGUGAUAAGGGGAUCCCAAGUGCUUUGUCUUCGGAUAAAGCUUUUAUUAAGUUUAAAUCGCUUAAUGAAUAAGUGGUGGGUAAGACGGGUGCCAGCCGCCGCGGUAACACCUGCGCCACAAGUGGCGAUCGUAUUUAUUGGGUCUAAAGCGUCCGUAGCCGGUCUAAUAACUCUUCUGUGAAAUUGUUGGGCUUAACUUAACAACGUGCGGGGGAAACUGUUAGACUUGAGACUGGGAGGAGAUAGAGGUAUUCUAAGGGUAGCGGUAAAAUGUUAUAAUCCUUGGAGGACCACCAGUGGCGAAGGCGUCUAUCUAGAACAGAUCUGACGGUGAGGGACGAAGGCCAGGGUAGCAAAACGGAUUAGAUACCCGAGUAGUCCUGGCAGUAAACGCUGUGAGCUGUGUGUUGCAUAAUCUUAGUGAUUGUGCAGUGCCUAAGCGAAGGUGUUAAGCUCACCACCUGGGAAGUACAGUCGCAAGACCGAAACUUAAAGGAAUUGGCGGGGGAG
rnacentral:rRNA from 1 species